GGUUGUGUGGCGCAAUGGCUAGCGCAUUACUUUCCGGUUAUCACCAGCUGGUAAAGGUUCUGGGUUCGAAUCCCAGCAUGAUCG